GGACAAUGGGCGAAAGCCUGAUCCGGCCAUGCCGCGUGUGUGAAGAAGGUCUUCGGAUUGUAAAGCACUUUAAGUUGGGAGGAAGGGCAGUUACCUAAUACGUAAUUGUUUUGACGAUACCGACAGAAUAAGCACCUGCUAACUCUGUG
rnacentral:rRNA from 2 species